AAGUCGUAACAAGGUUUCCGUAGGUGAACCUGCGGAAGGAUCAUUAACACGUAUCCAAACGUUAAAACCCCCCCCCGUGAACCUUCAUCCUGCUCUUGUAACCCGCGUAGUUCGCAAUCUCUGAUAAAUCAUAGCCCGGAAAGUUGUAGUGAUUCAGAGACCUCUGGCUACGUGCGAACAUUGGAACAGUUACAAUCGAGCGGUAGUUCUAUAGGCAAUGUUUCCCCAAGCAGUCAGUGUCGGAGUGUCAUUGAUUGUGCAAGGAUAGCGCUUCUACGAUUCCUGUAGACCGUACACUCGGGCAGGAGCUUUGAAGCUCAAUGUAAUACAUUGGGUAAAAAAACCGAACAAACUGUUAACAAUGCAUAUCUUGGUUCUC
rnacentral:misc_RNA from 1 species